rnacentral:rRNA from 1 species
AUUGAACGCUGGCGGCAGGCCUAACACAUGCAAGUCGAGCGGAUGAAGGGAGCUUGCUCCUGGAUUCAGCGGCGGACGGGUGAGUAAUGCCUAGGAAUCUGCCUGGUAGUGGGGGAUAACGUCCGGAAACGGGCGCUAAUACCGCAUACGUCCUGAGGGAGAAAGUGGGGGAUCUUCGGACCUCACGCUAUCAGAUGAGCCUAGGUCGGAUUCGCUAGUUGGUGGGGUAAAGGCCUACCAAGGCGACGAUCCGUAACUGGUCUGAGAGGAUGAUCAGUCACACUGGAACUGAGACACGGUCCAGACUCCUACGGGAGGCAGCAGUGGGGAAUAUUGGACAAUGGGCGAAAGCCUGAUCCAGCCAUGCCGCGUGUGUGAAGAAGGUCUUCGGAUUGUAAAACACUUUAAGUUGGGAGGAAGGGCAGUAAGUUAAUACCUUGCUGUUUUGACGUUACCAACAGAAAAAGCACCGGCUAACUUCGUG